rnacentral:rRNA from 1 species
CACACCGCCCGUCACACCAUGGGAGUUUGUUGCACUAGAAGCAGGUAGCUUAACCGCAAGGGGGGCGCUUGCCACGGUGUGGCCGAUGACUGGGGUG